UUGGGUUAAGUCCCGCAACGAGCGCAACCCUUGUCUUUAGUUACCAUCAUUCAGUUGGGGACUCUAGAGAGACUGCCGGUGAUAAACCGGAGGAAGGUGGGGAUGACGUCAAAUCAUCAUGCCCCUUAUGGCCUGGGCUACAAACGUAAUACAAUGGCGUAUACAAAGGGAUGCGAAAGGGCGACCUGGAGCAAAACUCACAAAGUACGUCUCAGUUCAGAUUGGAGUCUGCAACUCGACUCCAUGAAGGCGGAAUCGCUAGUAAUCGCGGAUCAGCAUGCCGCGGUGAAUACGUUCUCGGGGUUU
rnacentral:rRNA from 1 species